UGACCUAGCAAACACCCCACCAGCUUUCCCUCCCCUCCCUUGUGUCAGACAGAAAUUUACUGGGUGUAUAAUGGCAAAGAAGAAGGGGUGGCAGCUGAGCUCUGCCUACACUACAGCUGAGCUAGGUUUUCAAGCACCACGCACUCCGUCCCUCCCCAGGUUGCUUCUUGAGGUGAAGCCAGUUUCGCGCAUGUUGGAAAAUAAGACAGCACUGGAGUUUAUCUAGGGUUGUUGAAGCUUCAAGCAAGAUCCCAGGCUCUAUUUAUGCUUAAGGAAAUUGGCAAGUUAAUGACCAUGUAGGUUGAUGAUUGCAAGCCAACUCCAUGUGAUUUGGAGACAAAAGAUGCUUGCAGGGGAAUACUCUGCUUAAUAGCUAACAGGCACAUGCUACAUUUAUGAAAACCUCUUGAAAUCAGAUUGCUUUGAACCACUAGGUACCACACACUGUAAAACGCUAUAAAUCUAAGAAUGUAUUAAGAUAGCUCUUUCCACACUAAUUAUUUUAACGAUAAAAAAGACUUGUUACAAUUGUUUUGAUCAAUAACAUCACUAGAUAAUAUUUUCAUAAAGAUAGUAUCUUAUGGCAGAAUGCAAGCAGUAAAGAUAACCGCUCUCUUUAAACUUCUCCAUACCUGCUGUUGGGGAGUUGGCAUGAUGAGAUUUCUUUGGCAGGUUGAAGAUCUGUUCACCGGGGUCAGGAGGUGGAAGAACAUCCUGUCCUUGUCUGGCUUCCAUGGGGUCAUAUUCUUUGCCAUCAUAGUUGGCAUCAAAGAACUUUUUGAACCACUGAAUAAAAUCCAGGUUGUCUUGGAAACGUCCCUUUACCAGUUUUUCCACUGGAAUAACCUUAAAUUCAGAAAAAUACAAAUUCACUAUAGAGUGGAUUUUGGGAGUUACUGGAUAUUAAAGACUAUUCUCUUUUGAAUUUUGUUGUUCACCAGAUACAAUAAAAACGUUGUGAAUUUG